CGGGGCGAGGGCUUCCCAGCCCCAAAGAGCUUUUACAGGGAACACCAAAGUAGAGGCCAAGGCUAAAGGAAGGCCAAGUGCAGUGAGAGAGACUGUCCUUUGAGAAGUUAAUCUGGAUGUCAAAUGUGCUGAUGUUGUUAUGGACAGACUUGUGUCCCCCUAAAACUCAUGUGUUGAAACCCAACCCCCAGUGAAAGGAUGUUUGGAGACAAAGCCUAUUCUGAGGAUAAAUGAAGCCAAAGUCCCA